rnacentral:rRNA from 1 species
UAGGGAAUCUUCGGCAAUGGACGAAAGUCUGACCGAGCAACGCCGCGUGAGUGAAGAAGGUUUUCGGAUCGUAAAGCUCUGUUGUAAGAGAAGAACGGGUGUGAGAGUGGAAAGUUCACACUGUGACGGUAUCUUACCAGAAAGGGACGGCUAACUACGUGCCAGCAGCCGCGGUAAUACGUAGGUCCCGAGCGUUGUCCGGAUUUAUUGGGCGUAAAGCGAGCGCAGGCGGUUAGAUAAGUCUGAAGUUAAAGGCUGUGGCUUAACCAUAGUACGCUUUGGAAACUGUUUAACUUGAGUGCAAGAGGGGAGAGUGGAAUUCCAUGUGUAGCGGUGAAAUGCGUAGAUAUAUGGAGGAACACCGGUGGCGAAAGCGGCUCUCUGGCUUGUAACUGACGCUGAGGCUCGAAAGCGUGGGGAGCAAACAGGAUUAGAUACCCUGGUAGUCCACGCCGUAAACGAUGAGUGCUAGGUGUUAGACCCUUUCCGGGGUUUAGUGUCGCAGCUAACGCAUUAAGCACUCCGCCUGGGGAGUACGACCGCAAGGUUG